AAAAAAGAGUUGUUAGUUGAGAAUUGAGAAUUGUUGUUAGGUUUGGAAGAGAAUGGGAAGAAAAGAAUCUAUUCGUUGUUACUUCUUCCUCACCAGCUUCUUGUUCAUCCUCUGAUCGUGUCAGCUUAGGGUUUUUCUUCUGAUUUAGCCACCAUCGUCACACUUUGCGGCCAUCGAAUCUUAACCUCUUUAAGUUGCAUCUCAACUUCGUUGUGUCAUCUAACCUCUUUGUAAGUGUUGCAUGCCACUCUAUUUUAUUUCAGUAUCAUUUCUUGCCAUUUUUCAUUAUUCUCGUUUCAUUAUUCAUUUUCGUUAAUUGUAGUGAGUUAGGGUUUUGAUUUUCUUCUGAUUUAGUGUUUUUGUGUGUUGUUUCUUUGAACAUUUUCAAUGUCGCCAUUGCUACAUGCAUAGAGGUAUUGAUGCUGAUUCAAUGUCCCUGUCAAUUAUUAUUUCCAUUGUCGCCAUUUUCCACUUUGUUGUUUGGUUUUGCUUAGUUUUGUUGGACUUUCAGGUACAAGCUAAUGUUUGUCUUGUACUACUUUAUUUAUUUGCAAG